CGGGCGAGUAAUGUAUGGGGAUCUGCCUGAUGGCGGGGGAUAACUACUGGAAACGGUAGCUAAUACCGCAUAACGUCGCAAGACCAAAGAGGGGGACCUUCGGGCCUCUUGCCAUCGGAUGUGCCCAGAUGGGAUUAGCUAGUAGGUGGGGUAACGGCUCACCUAGGCGACGAUCCCUAGCUGGUCUGAGAGGAUGACCAGCCACACUGGAACUGAGACACGGUCCAG
rnacentral:rRNA from 1 species